AAAAAGAAAAAAAAAAAAGAAAGGUCCUUGAACAGAAUUGAUAUUGUUUUGGAUUUAUCGAUUUUAUGUUGUUGUUGUUGUU
rnacentral:ribozyme from 1 species